rnacentral:lncRNA from 1 species
CCUAGGUGAGCGCGGCGCUCCGGGCGCUACAGUACGUCCCUGCCCUGCGCCCCCGUCCCGCCCCGCCCCGCGUGGGAAACCGCCAGGGUGGUGGGAACGCCGGGAAGGGGAAGUUUGUGUGCGGAGAGAAAGCUUUGCUGUACUGUGGCGUGGAGUGGGGUGGGAAGAGAAACAAGGGAGAGGCCGAGAAGCAGGAAAUGAGAGCGAAGGCACCAAUGUGAGCCAGGGCCAGCCGGGUUCCCCAUCGAUGUGGCGGUUUCCAGCCACUUCAGGCCCAGUGUGCGUUCCUAAUGACAACAAAGGCGGCGUCUGCCUGUGGCUGGAACUGGGUCACAUGGUUUCCUGGAGACCAAACACAGGAAAGCAGACAGGAAGAAGGAUCUCUUGGAUGGAAUUUGGGACAACCAACUGGCAGUUGCCUUUUUACUAUAUAAUGUUUCAUAAUGUUUUAGUCCUAAAUUGCAAACCACUGUAUUACUGAGGCUCUCUAUUGAAUUCUUACUGGCAAACAGGAAAAAAAAAGAAAAAUAUACUGUUGGCUUACAAGUUAUUGGCCAUCAUCAUUUUAAGGACAUGAACUCAUAAACUACAAAAAAAGAUUGAUGUUUCUUAACUAUAUUUUCUGCACAAUGUGGUCACCAUAUUAUUAAAGUACACAAACCAUAAUGUAGUCCAUUUUAAAUGAAUCCAUGUGUGAUUUACCUAAGGCAAAAUGUGAAUCACAGUUUAGCUUCACUGAGUUACAUAGUCUGGUUAUGGCUUAUCCUUCCACUCCAUGAAUUUACAUGUCUUUGAGAAAUGAACAUUAAUUUUUGAAAGUUGGAUAAGCAAGUCGCAAUUAAAAAGGUAGAUCUGUGUUUACCAAAAUAUAAGCUGCGUUUGCAUUUCAUAUUCAAAUGAGAGUGAAGCAGCAGCGCAUGAGCUGAUCCCUGAGAGCCAGAAAGACAAACUCAUUUCUGGUUUCGCCACUUGAUUGUGUGACCUUUGACAGGUUGCUCAAUUUUUCUUGGUGUCAGUUUUCCUCCCAGUGCAACUGGGUUGGCACCUUCUUUACAAGGAUGUGAACAACUAAUGAGGUCUUCCAUGCCCUCCCGUACAAGACUGUAAGCUCUACAAGGCUUGACAAGAAUUGUGUCUGACCACUUCUCAGUUAUCACCAGUCCUAACUUGGCACUCAGCACAUAGCAAGUCCUCAAAGCUUUUUGAUGAAAGAAUGAAAGUAACUUCCAAAGGCCUUGGAUAUGGUGGGUACCCUAUGAUACCUGUAAAUAUAGUUGCCUACCAGAAUAAUAAUUUGUCAAGAAAAAUAAUCUAAAGGAAUAAAUAGUUUCUGUACUUUAGUUCAAUAAAAUAUGUGUACUCAGUUAAUUUGUAAAGAUCAGUAUUUGGCUAGAUUUGGCAUGCAUCUCUUUUAACUGACCCA